rnacentral:lncRNA from 1 species
ACCAUUACUCUCCGAGUCACCAACGGCUACAAGAAGAUCAUUAGGAUCUGCAACACAAUUUGAUUUCUUUCAGUCCACCCAAUCCAGAUUGUCUACAAGCUAUUCGAGAAAUUAUAAAAAUAAUUGAGUCAUACAGAUUAUUUUUUGUUGUUAUAUAUAGGCAGGUAGUUGAAAAAAAUUGUUGUAUAUUGCUGAGGUUUUGUUAUGUUAUUCACCCCAGAAAUGAAUGCAAUGUGAAUGGAGGGAACUUUCAAUUUUUUUUUCAUUUGAAUCAAAAACAAAUUUUAUUGAUACAAAAUUUCAAAUUUUCUUUUUCUUUGUUAAUUGGAACUUUCUGAUACAAAAUUUCUUAUCAACUGUAACAUAUAUGUUGCCAUGCAAGGUUCGGUCAUUUUUUGAGAAGCAUUUCUUAGUGAGUACCAACAGAUUAAUUCAUUUAAACAACAUAGAAAUGCGUUGAGAUUAUUACUCUCUUUAUCCAUGACACAGUCAUGACACUUGAAUUUCUGUAUACCCUUUUCCUUCAUCCAUGACACCUAUUUUGAUCAUUGAUUGAGGUUUAACAGCCAUUGAUUACCUCCAUGGUUGUUGAUUGAGAGAAAGUGGACGAAAAGAAACUCUAGCUGUGAAGAAGAGAGCAAUUGAUUAGAGAAGAAGAGGAUCGAUGGAUAAAACCCUUCUUCUGCAUCUUUCCUAUAUUUUGCUCUAAUUUUGAUAUUUUUUUUUCAGAUACGUCAGAGUUUUUAUUAAUAUCUAAAAAGAUACAAGAGCUUUAGUAAUAUUCCAGUGAUAGAGAGAUUCACUGUAAAACAUUCGCAGCUCUGUGCUCUGUGUGAGGGACAAAAAGAUUAUAAAUAAAAACUCCAAAAGCAGCUACUGAAGGAAGAUAAUAUCCCAAUUGGUGAGCAGGUCACCAUAGCUGUAGUCUUUGUUCACUGAACUUACCAAAUUGAAGGAGAAAAGAGGCAGAGGUGUAUAACUCAAGUUGCGUCGCUAGCUCUUCUUCAAGGUGAGUGUAAUAGUUCUUGACUGUGAACAUACCUUUAGAAGAAAGAGCCCAUUGCCAACUGUCCUGAUCAUCAGAUAGUGUUGAGAAGAGCCAAAAGUUGCUGCCAGUCAUCUUGCUCUCAUUGUCUUGGAUGUCUUCGUAGGUGCAAGUCUACUUACAUAUGAUUUGCUCAUCAACCUUGGGCCCAACUACUCUUCAGUACGUAAUCAAAGGCAGAGAGAACAUUUACAGGCACCUUCCCAACUAAUUGACAGGGAUGACAGGGUAAUACUGAAAAACAAGGAGCUGCCAAAAGCCAGGCUUUUUUUUAUUUAAUGGUGAAGAGGACGAAGGGUUAUUGUCCGAUCUUUGUGUGUUAGUCUUACUAACAAAGAGUAUCGUUUUCGUGAAUACUCCCGACCAGGUUCUUUUGCUACAUGGAAAAUUUGCACAAAAGUCUAGCUGGGUUAAUGUUUUUACCAACGUGCAGACAUUUUCAGACUUUGAUUACCCUUGUAGUAUGCUCAUCACUUGUGACGGUCAUGAUAUGCCCCGUGAGAAAGUGCCCUGUGUAAUUAACUU